GCUUGGUUGGUGUAGUGGUUAGCACAUCUGUCUCACAAUGGGGCGUUACUUGCUAAUUGUACCUAACAGGUACGUUAGUAGGUAAUUAACCCUAUGAUCACAGGGGAUCGUGAGUUCAAACCUCACACUAAGCA
rnacentral:tRNA from 1 species